rnacentral:rRNA from 1 species
CCUACGGGGGGCAGCAGUGAGGAAUAUUGGUCAAUGGACGCGCGUCUGAACCAGCCAAGCAGCGUGAAGGAUGACGGCUCUAUGGGUUGUAAACUUCUUUUGUAAGGGAAUAAACCCAGGCACGUGUCCCUGGUUGCAUGUACUUUAUGAAUAAGGAUCGGCUAACUCCGUGCCAGCAGCCGCGGUAAUACGGAGGAUCCGAGCGUUAUCCGGAUUUAUUGGGUUUAAAGGGUGCGUAGGCGGGUUGUUAAGUCAGUGGUGAAAGGUCGCGGCUCAACCCUAAAACUGCAAUUGAUACUGGCAGUCUUGAGUAUAGUUGAGGUAAGCGGAAUGCGUGGUGUAGCGGUGAAAUGCUUAGAUAUCACGCAGAACCCCGAUUGCGAAGGCAGCUUACCAAACUGUCACUGACAUUGAGGCACGAAAGCGUGGGUAUCAAACAGGAUUAGAUACCCUUGUAGUC